AACGAACGCUGGCGGCAGGCCUAACACACGCAAGUCGAGCGAAGCCUUCGGGCUUAGCGGCGGACGGGUGAGUAACGCGUGGGAAAUUGACCUUUGGUACGGAAUAGCCACGGGAAACUGGGAGUAAUACCGUAUGUGGUCGAGAGACGAAAGAUUUAUCGCCAAAGGAACGGCCCGCGUUGGAUUAGGUAGUUGGUGGGGUAAUGGCCUACCAAGCCGACGAUCCAUAGCUGGUUUGAGAGGAUGAUCAGCCACACUGGGACUGAGACACGGCCCAGACUCCUACGGGAGGCAGCAGUGGGGAAUCUUAGACAAUGGGGGAAACCCUGAUCUAGCCAUGCCGCGUGAUCGAUGAAGGCCUUAGGGUUGUAAAGAUCUUUCAGUGGGGAAGAUAAUGACUGUACCCACAGAAGAAGCCCCGGCUAACUCCGUGCCAGCCGCCGCGGUAA
rnacentral:rRNA from 1 species